rnacentral:rRNA from 1 species
ACUGAAUAGAUACCCAGGUAGUCCACGCCGUAAACGAUGGAUACUAGCUGUUCGGAGCAAAUCUGAGUGGCUAAAGCGAAAGUGAUAAGUAUCCCACCCGGGGAGUACGCACGCAAGUGUGAAACUCAAAGGAAUUGACGGGGGCCCGCACAAGCGGUGGAGCAUGUGGUUUAAUUCGAUGAUACGCGAGGAACCUUACCAGGGCUUAAAUGUAGAUUGACAGGACUGGAAACAGUUUUUUCUUCGGACAAUUUACAAGGUGCUGCAUGGUUGUCGUCAGCUCGUGCCGUGAGGUGUCAGGUUAAGUCCUAUAACGAGCGCAACCCCUGUCGUUAGUUGCCAGCGAGUCAUGUCGGGAACUCUAACGAGACUGCCAGUGUAAACUGUGAGGAAGGUGGGGAUGACGUCAAAUCAUCACGGCCCUUACGUCCUGGGCCACACACGUGCUACAAUGGUAGGUACAGAGAGCAGCCACUGCGCGAGCAGGAGCGAAUCUACAAAA